rnacentral:rRNA from 1 species
ACAAGCGGUGGAGUAUGUGGUUUAAUUCGAUGCAACGCGAAGAACCUUACCUGGUCUUGACAUCCCGGAGACCCUUAGGAAACUAGGGGGUGCUUCCAUCUGGAAGAAUCUGGAGACAGGUGCUGCAUGGCUGUCGUCAGCUCGUGUCGUGAGAUGUUGGGUUAAGUCCCGCAACGAGCGCAACCCUUGCCUUUAGUUGCCAGCAGUUCGGCUGGGCACUCUAAAGGGACUGCCGGUGUUAAACCGGAGGAAGGUGGGGAUGACGUCAAGUCCUCAUGGCCUUUAUGACCAGGGCUACACACGUACUACAAUGGCCGAUACAAGGGGCAGCGACACUGCGAGGUGAAGCCAAUCCCGUAAAAUCGGUCUCAGUCCGGAUUGGAGUCUGCAACUCGACUCCAUGAAGUUGGAAUCGCUAGUAAUCGUGGAUCAGCAUGCCACGGUGAAUACGUUCCCGGGCCUU